UACGGAGGGUGCAAACGUUGCUCGGAAUCAUUGGGCGUAAAGCGCACGUAGGCGGUCCGUUAUGUCGGGCGUGAAAGCCCUCGGCUUAACCGAGGAAGUGCAUUCGAAACUGGCGGACUUGAGUACCGGAGAGGGUCGCGGAAUUCCCGGUGUAGAGGUGAAAUUCGUAGAUAUCGGGAGGAACACCAGUGGCGAAGGCGGCGACCUGGACGGAUACUGACGCUGAGGUGCGAAAGCGUGGGGAGCAAACAGG
rnacentral:rRNA from 1 species